GGAUUAGCUCAGCUUGGCUAGAGCGUCGAGCUAAUAACUCGAAGGUCGGGAGUUCGAGCCUCUCAUUC
rnacentral:tRNA from 1 species